rnacentral:lncRNA from 1 species
AUGAAUAUACCUGCCCUAAGAAGAGGUAGUAACAAAGCUAAUCAUAACUUUGAGCACAGGAAUACUGAGGAGGAGCUCUGGGGCCUGGCUGUGCUUCCCUUAGCCCUUCUGCUGGAGUCCAGGUGCAGAAUCUCUUCCGUAGAGGAAAUCUCUCUGUCAGCAGACAGAGGUAGUAAUGACAUUACACUUUAGAGGCUCCAGAUGAAACAGCUGUCAUGCUGGGUGCUGUGUGCCCUUCCCAGGGAGGAACUGUCUCUUCCCCCAGAGAAAUUACCACCUAUGCAGACAAGCCAAGGCAAACAGAGGAAGCACCAUUAUUCUUAUUUUGGAAACUGAGGACUGAUGUUGAGGCUACAUGUGUAGGUAUGGCACCCUUCUGAAUAUAUGCCUCUGCCAAGUUUGCCUCCCCACCAGAGAAGGUCCAUAACACUCUCUUAUAAUCUCCUGCACUCACCAUUCCCAUUAUAAGGCAAUAAAGGCACUAAGGGCCAUGUUCCCUACA